UACAGAGGGUGGCAAGCGUUAAUCGGAUUUACUGGGCGUAAAGCGCGCGUAGGCGGCUAAUUAAGUCAAAUGUGAAAUCCCCGAGCUUAACUUGGGAAUUGCAUUCGAUACUGGUUAGCUAGGAGUGUGGGAGAGGAUAGGUAGAAUUCCAGGUGUAGGCGGUGAAAUGCGUAGAGAUCUGGAGGAAUACCGAUGGCGAAGGCAGCCAUCUGGGCCUAACGACU
rnacentral:rRNA from 1 species